UAAAGGAAUUGGCGGGGGAGCACCGCAACGGGAGGAGCGUGCGGUUUAAUUGGAUUCAACACCGGAAAACUCACCAGGAGCGACGGUUACAUGAAAGUCAGGCUGAUGACCUUACUCGAUUUUCCGAGAGGUGGUGCAUGGCCGUCGUCAGUUCGUACCGUAAGGCGUUCUCUUAAGUGAGAUAACGAACGAGACCCUCACCAAUAGUUGCUACCGUAUCUUCCGAGGUGCGGGCACACUAUUGGGACCGCUGGCGCUAAGUCAGAGGAAGGAGAGGUCAACGGUAGGUCAGUAUGCCCCGAAUCUCCUGGGCUACAUGCGCGCUACAAAGGGCGGGACAAUGGGUUCCUACACCGAAAGGUGACGGCAAUCCCGAAACCCGUCCGUAGUUCGGAUUGAGGGUUGUAACUCACCCUCAUGAAGCUGGAUUCCGUAGUAAUCGCGGAUCAACAAUCCGCGGUGAAUAUGCCCCUGCUUCUUGCACACACCGCCA
rnacentral:rRNA from 1 species